AGUCGGAGCUGAGCCGUUUUCACAACAUCCAAGGAGCACAUGUGAGGCAGUGGGAUUUCAGCAGUGCAUCGUGUCUCCCCUUAGUGUCAGCAGACAACUCUCAGAAUAGUUCACAAAGAUCACUACGCCGGUCUUGAGUUACAGCACCGGAGCUACGCUAAUGAGACCAGAAGCUUUUUCUCCUGCUCCAUCGUUCCACUGAGAUACGAGUUUUUGUUUUUACCACUUACAAUUCACACAAAUGGCUACAUCUGCCAAGAUUAAUCCGGAAGGUUUUGUAACGUGUUGUCGAUGCUCAAUAUAGGUAAGUCGUACUCGAAAGGCUACAUUUUCUGCUCUUUAUUAUUUAGAAUUAUUUAUAUGACAAAUUGCUAAUUAAUUUUUUUUAAUGAAAAAUAGGCUUUCCGUAGAACACUUCUGAAUGUAAAAUUACUGAAGUGCAAGAUUCCUGAAGCAAAACCCUGAGGAAGUAGGAUGCAGCAAGAGGAUGUUACACCUCAAGUUACACUGAUGAUUCGGCAAGCUUGCAAUCAGUCCCUCAAUCAUCAGUCACUGAUGGUCCUUCUCACUCCAUCAGAAUCCAAAAGGACUCACAACAGGCAAAGGAGACAAUUUGGAUGCUGGCAUCAGACGUGGAUAGUUCAGGUCAUGAUUUUUAUUUUUUUAGUUUGCAUAUUGUACUGGUGCAAAAUAUAUGGGCCUAUUGACUUGGGGACCCCUGGAAGAAUGAGUUACAGUCAGAGGCCAUGGAAAAGGAGAAUCACAGAAGUAAAAAUCCAGACCAAGAUUUUGUUUCAUCCAAUCAGUUGAGUGACUGUGACACUUUAUACUCAGUUGGCUGGUUGAAACAAAGUCUUAGUCUGGAUUUAUAGUUUUUGGACCUGAACUAUCCACCUCUCAUUUAAUCAAAAGCAAGUAUCACAUAGUUACGGGCUAAAUGCGGUCAGGUCCCCGAAACUGUUUCAAAAAGUGUUGUUUGGUGUCCAUAUUGAAACCAUUUUGUGGUAUUUAGUCAUGAAAGACGAUGUGGCCCUAACAUACACCCUCGGACAGAAAUUGUGCCUGUGUUGUUUUCGGACUGAUCUCGUGGUCUUCUCAGCUUUUCCUGGUGAGGAUUAUGGUGAGAACAUUCCAAACAGGUCAGAUCAGGUCUCCUUUUCCACGGCCGCUGACUGUAACUCAUUCUUCUAGGCGUCCCCAAGUCCCCCUGUAAAAGAUAUAUCCAUUGUGUGUUAACUUUAAAUAAAACUGCUUCAGUUGUA